rnacentral:rRNA from 1 species
UGGGGAAUAUUGGACAAUGGGGGAAACCCUGAUCCAGCGAUGCCGCGUGAGUGAUGAAGGCCUUCGGGUUGUAAAGCUCUUUUAUCCGGGAAGAUAAUGACGGUACCGGAAGAAUAAGCUCCGGCUAACUUCGUGCCAGCAGCCGCGGUAAUACGAAGGGAGCUAGCGUUGUUCGGAAUUACUGGGCGUAAAGGGCGUGUAGGUGGUUCGAUAAGCAAGAUGUGAAAUCCCUGGGCUUAACCUAGGAAUGGCAUUUUGGACUGUUGGACUCAGUGUGCGAGAGGGGAAAGUGGAAUGGCGAGUGGAGCAGUGAAAUGCGUUGAUAUUCGUUGGAACACCAGAGGCGAAGGCGACUUUCUGGCUCGACACAGACACUAAGGCGCGAAAGCGUGGGGAGCAA